rnacentral:tRNA from 3 species
GCGGGUGUAGUUCAAUGGUAGAACUCCAGCCUUCCAAGCUGGUCGUGAGGGUUCGAUUCCCUUCACCCGCUCCA